rnacentral:rRNA from 1 species
ACACAUGCAAGUCAAGGGGCAGCAUCAUCAAAGCUUGCUUUGAUGGAUGGCGACCGGCGCACGGGUGAGUAACACGUAUCCAACCUGCCGACAACACUGGGAUAGCCUUUCGAAAGAAAGAUUAAUACCGGAUGGCAUAGUUUUCCCGCAUGGGAUAAUUAUUAAAGAAUUUCGGUUGUCGAUGGGGAUGCGUUCCAUUAGGCAGUUGGCGGGGUAACGGCCCACCAAACCUACGAUGGAUAGGGGUUCUGAGAGGAAGGUCCCCCACAUUGGAACUGAGACACGGUCCAAACUCCUACGGGAGGCAGCAGUGAGGAAUAUUGGUCAAUGGACGAGAGUCUGAACCAGCCAAGUAGCGUGAAGGAUGACUGCCCUAUGGGUUGUAAACUUCUUUUAUACGGGAAUAAAGUGAGCCACGUGUGGCUUUUUGUAUGUACCGUAUGAAUAAGGAUCGGCUAACUCCGUGCCAGCAGCCGCGGCAAUACGGAGGAUUCGAGCGUUAUCCGGAUUUAUUGGGUUUAAAGGGAGCGUAGGCGGGUUGUUAAGUCAGUUGUGAAAGUUUGCGGCUCAACCGUAAAAUUGCAGUUGAUACUGGCGACCUUGAGUGCAACAGAGGUAGGCGGAAUUCGUGGUGUAGCGGUGAAAUGCUUAGAUAUCACGAAGAACUCCGAUUGCGAAGGCAGCUUACUGGAUUGUAACUGACGCUGAUGCUCGAAAGUGUGGGUAUCAAACAGGAUUAGAUACCCUGGUAGUCCACACAGUAAACGAUGAAUACUCGCUGUUGGCGAUAUACAGUCAGCGGCCAAGCGAAAGCAUUAAGUAUUCCACCUGGGGAGUACGCCGGCAACGG